UAGUAAUUCUAGGGCUAAUACAUGAGUAAAGUCCCGUGGGGAUGUGUUUAUUAAAAUGAAAACCAUAUGCUUCCGCAUGAUAGUGAGUAAUAAUAACCUAUCGUAUCGCAUGCUAUAAGUAGCGAUGAAUCUUUCAAGUUUCUGCCCUAUCAGCUUUCGAUGGUAGCAUAUGGGUCUACCAUGGCAGUAACGGGUAACGAA
rnacentral:rRNA from 1 species